UACAGAGGUCUCGAGCGUUGUUCGGAUUCAUUGGGCGUAAAGGGUGCGUAGGCGGCGCGGUAAGUCGGGUGUGAAAUCUCGGAGCUUAACUCCGAAACUGCAUUCGAUACUGCCGUGCUUGAGGACUGGAGAGGAGACUGGAAUUUACGGUGUAGCGGUGAAAUGCGUAGAUAUCGUAAGGAAGACCAGUGGCGAAGGCGGGUCUCUGGACAGUUCCUGACGCUGAGGCCCGAAAGCGUGGGGAGCAAACAGG
rnacentral:rRNA from 1 species